UACGUAGGGGGCGAGCGUUGUCCGGAGUUACUGGGCGUAAAGCGCACGCAGGCGGUCUGCUAAGUUUGGAGUGACAGUUGGUGGCUUAACUGCCAAAGUGCUUCGAAAACUGACAGACUUGAGGGCUUCAGAGGGACACGGAAUUCCGGGUGGAGUGGAGAAAUGCGUAGAGAUCCGGAGGAACACCAAAGGCGAAGGCAGUGUCCUGGGGAGUACCUGACGCUCAGGUGCGAAAGCCAGGGGAGCGAACGGG
rnacentral:rRNA from 1 species